ensembl:snoRNA
AAGAUGCUGGCAUUUCAUGAUUCUGCAUCAAAACAGGUGC